UGCUAGUCUGAUGGUAGUGGAUCCCCAGAACUUAUUAACCUUAGUGUCACCAACGUUGGUAUACAACCCCCCACUGCUAAAUUUGACUGGCUUUUA
rnacentral:Y_RNA from 1 species